rnacentral:rRNA from 1 species
AUAAUGCAGUCGAGCGAACAGAUAAGGAGCUUGCUCCUUUGACGUUAGCGGCGGACGGGUGAGUAACACGUGGGUAACCUACCUAUAAGACUGGGAUAACUUCGGGAAACCGGAGCUAAUACCGGAUAACAUUUGGAACCGCAUGGUUCUAAAGUGAAAGAUGGUUUUGCUAUCACUUAUAGAUGGACCCGCGCCGUAUUAGCUAGUUGGUAAGGUAACGGCUUACCAAGGCGACGAUACGUAGCCGACCUGAGAGGGUGAUCGGCCACACUGGAACUGAGACACGGUCCAGACUCCUACGGGAGGCAGCAGUAGGGAAUCUUCCGCAAUGGGCGAAAGCCUGACGGAGCAACGCCGCGUGAGUGAUGAAGGGUUUCGGCUCGUAAAACUCUGUUAUUAGGGAAGAACAAAUGUGUAAGUAACUGUGCACGUCUUGACGGUACCUAAUCAGAAAGCCACGGCUAACUACGUGCCAGCAGCCGCGGUAAUACGUAGGUGGCAAGCGUUAUCCGGAAUUAUUGGGCGUAAAGCGCGCGUAGGCGGUUUCUUAAGUCUGAUGUGAAAGCCCACGGCUCAACCGUGGAGGGUCAUUGGAAACUGGGAAACUUGAGUACAGAAGAGGAAAGUGGAAUUCCAUGUGUAGCGGUGAAAUGCGCAGAGAUAUGGAGGAACACCAGUGGCGAAGGCGACUUUCUGGUCUGUAACUGACGCUGAUGUGCGAAAGCGUGGGGAUCAAACAGGAUUAGAUACCCUGGUAGUCCACGCCGUAAACGAUGAGUGCUAAGUGUUAGGGGGUUUCCGCCCCUUAGUGCUGCAGCUAACGCAUUAAGCACUCCGCCUGGGGAGUACGACCGCAAGGUUGAAACUCAAAGGAAUUGACGGGGACCCGCACAAGCGGUGGAGCAUGUGGUUUAAUUCGAAGCAACGCGAAGAACCUUACCAAAUCUUGACAUCCUUUGAAAACUCUAGAGAUAGAGCUUUCCCCUUCGGGGGACAAAGUGACAGGUGGUGCAUGGUUGUCGUCAGCUCGUGUCGUGAGAUGUUGGGUUAAGUCCCGCAACGAGCGCAACCCUUAAGCUUAGUUGCCAUCAUUAAGUUGGGCACUCUAGGUUGACUGCCGGUGACAAACCGGAGGAAGGUGGGGAUGACGUCAAAUCAUCAUGCCCCUUAUGAUUUGGGCUACACACGUGCUACAAUGGACAAUACAAAGGGCAGCUAAACCGCGAGGUCAUGCAAAUCCCAUAAAGUUGUUCUCAGUUCGGAUUGUAGUCUGCAACUCGACUACAUGAAGCUGGAAUCGCUAGUAAUCGUAGAUCAGCAUGCUACGGUGAAUACGUUCCCGGGUCUUGUACACACCGCCCGUCACACCACGAGAGUUUGUAACACCCGAAGCCGGUGGAGUAACCAUUUAUGGAGCUAGCCGUCGAA